UCGAUGAAAUCUGCGUGUAACGGGAAGUGCGAUGAAAAUUGACUCAUGGUUAACGGAGUGUUUUAUACACCUCGGAAAUUUCAAAAUUCAAUAUUCCACGUUUAUUAACGAGAUCUAUAGGGGACUCGCUGGCGAAACUUUGGGUCCUCGAACGCUUAUUAAAUUAAAUCCUACUUUAUUUUCAUCUGAAAAAUUGUCUCGUUUAAAGCGUUCCAAAUCCUGCGCAAUUUCUAUUCUGUAAUAUGCGAGGUGCGCUCGACUAUAUUUGGUAUAGGCGUAAGUAAAUAACAUUCCCCGAAAAUAAUUUAUCAUCGCUGCAGCACGACUCACUUUCGAACGAAGAUCGAUGUCGAAUUUUUAUCUUUCCCGCUGCUCUGGUAAACGUGUUGCUACAUGUACGUCUCGAACGAAAAUAUCCCAUAUAACUCAUGAUUCGAUGGCAUCUCUUAUCUCGAGAUAAGAUAACCCGUUUACCAUUCCCUACAAACACAGACGCGAUACUGCAGUCUGGCUCUCUGUAUGAACGAGUGUAAUAUAUAGUAUAGCUCGAACUGGAAAACGUAUAUUUAUGUUUUUCAUCAAUCACAAUGUAUGACGCGCGUCGCAAUGAAAUAAUAAAAAAUCGAUUACGCCCACACAUCUCAACAGCAUUAGAUGUAAACGACGUACUUGUACAUUACACAACCUCGUCCGCUUUGCGAGCCCAUUAGAUGCGUAUUACGAAAUCACCACUACUUUGGUAAUUUAAAAUGCAUAAUGUGGAGCAGACAAUAGUUUUAUCAAUUGACUCGCUUUACGGCCUUUCCUUAAUGGCCGCACUGGCGACGCGCUAUACAUACUCGUACAGCAAUAUAACCAGCCGCAUCCGCGAAAAGAAUUCGAAAUAUCCGAGAGAAAUCCCAGGCGCAUCCGAAGCCCGGGCUCCCGAGUCGCGGCCUGUACGGCCCUGACAGAUAGCAACAUCGAGUCGUACACGUCUAAUAACUCGACCCGAGGCAGGCACACAAACACACACAGAGCGAGUGCGCGCGCGAGAGAGAGAGAGAGAGAGAGAGAGAGAGAGAGAGAGAGAGAGAAACUCGCGACAAAGGCGAGCGUCGAUUGGUCGAGGCAGCGAGUCAGCCCUGCCACGAGGUGACGGCGGCUGCGGCGGCGCGACUCCUGCGCAGAAGAGCCCGAAAAGCAGCUGGUUGGCAAGGGAGCGGGCACAGCAGCAUCGGAGAGAAAGAGACAGAGACGUGGUGUAUCCCCGUACCAGCAGCAGCUAGCGCAACUGCAGCAGUCGCCAGUGAGACGCGGCAGUUCGCGCACAGGAGAGCGAGCGAGUGUGUGCUGCGCGUUAGUGUGGACAUCGCCGACAAGUAUUGUUAUUCUUUCAUCAUCCGUUUUAUUCCAUUUCAAUGUUAAAUAAUUAUAAACAAACAAAAAAUAAACAUAAUAUAUUAACUAUUUUCAUUCAUGAGAAAAGCAUCGUUACCUGUAUGACAAGUGAUCAUAAGAGCAUAAUAAACAAUCGCUCAUUAAAUGCA